AUCGCUUCUCGGCCUUUUGGCUAAGAUCAAGUGUAUAAUUUUUAGCAUACAGAUUCUAUAAAUGAUUUAUUAGGCUUCUAUCUAAAUAUUUAAUUUCAUUUAGAUAGACUGUAAAUGGCACUGCAUUUUUCUUAGUCUUCCACAU
rnacentral:snRNA from 1 species